rnacentral:rRNA from 1 species
AAAUGAAUUGACGGGGGCCCGCACAAGCAGCGGAGCGUGUGGUUUAAUUCGAUGAUACGCGAAGAACCUUACCUGGGUUUGACAUAUAGGUAGUAGAGAAGUGAAAGCGGAUCGACCCUUCGGGGAGCCUAAACAGGUGCUGCAUGGCUGUCGUCAGCUCGUGUCGUGAGAUGUUGGGUUAAGUCCCGCAACGAGCGCAACCCUCGUCGUUAGUUACAAGUGUCUAACGAUACUGCCGGUUUCAAACCGGAGGAAGGUGGGGAUGACGUCAAGUCAGCAUGGUCUUUAUAUCCAGGGCUACACACACGCUACAAUGGUCGGUACAAUGGGUUGCCACAGCGCGAGCUGGAGCUAAUCCCCAAAGCCGGUCUCAGUUCAGAUUGCAGUCUGCAACUCGACUGCAUGAAGGCGGAGUUGCUAGUAACCGCGCGUCAGCCAUAGUGCGGUGAAUGCGUUCCCGGGCCUUGUACACACCGCCCGU